rnacentral:rRNA from 1 species
UUCCAGACUCCUACGGAGGCAGCAGUGAGGAAUAUUGGUCAAUGGGCGAGAGCCUGAACCAGCCAAGUCGCGUGAGGGACGACGGCCCUACGGGUUGUAAACCUCUUUUGCCGGGGGACAAACGGCGGCACGCGUGCCGUCCUGAGGGUACCCGGAGAAAAAGCAUCGGCUAACUCCGUGCCAGCAGCCGCGGUAAUACGGAGGAUGCGAGCGUUAUCCGGAUUUAUUGGGUUUAAAGGGUGCGUAGGCGGAAUGCCAAGUCAGCGGUAAAAUCGCGGGGCUCAACCUCGCUCCGCCGUUGAAACUGGCGUUCUUGAGUGGGCGAGAAGUAUGCGGAAUGCGUGGUGUAGCGGUGAAAUGCAUAGAUAUCACGCAGAACUCCGAUUGCGAAGGCAGCAUACCGGCGCCCAACUGACGCUGAAGCACGAAAGCGUGGGUAUCGAACAGGAUUAGAUACCCGUGUAC